UUAGGUUUCAACACGGAUUCAAAUGUCAGGGGCCAAUAUGUUACUUAACCAUUGUUCUUAUCGGCCUGCUCAGAAGUGGCAGCUGCUCUUUCUCUGGAACGGCUGAAGCAGGGAUGGAGGAGAAGGAAUUACCUUGUGCAGCUGUGAAAAUGCUCUUUACUGGAUGUAACUUACCUUCUCUUUCUCAUUGCGGAAAAGUGAAGCAAAACAGGAAGUCAUCAGUCAACAUGUCAUUGGCAGAAGGUGGAACAGUCACGCCUGACCCUUUGCUGCUUCUUCUAUAGGAGAACUUUGUGAGAAGCCAGAAAUCCCUCACGGCUCACCUUGUCACCGGCUCUGUAAGUGAUCUGGGAUAAAGGAGGCCUCAGAGUCCCCCAGUUGUAAAAUAGGAAAAUAAAGUAUGCCCAUCUGGAACAUUUACACAGAGAUCAAUAAAAGUCUUCUUCUCUCAAAACAAACAAAACAAAACAAACUUCAAGGGUAGCCACGGAGGGUAGGAGAAGUCACACCAUUUAUUAUGAGACCAUGUUUCAGCCUCGCAUUUUUCCUUCAGGCUCACGGUGAGAUACAGCUCAUUCUGCAGCCAAUGUUGUCUCUUGUUUGCGAGUGCCUCAAGCAGCAUUUCCCUGACUUAUGGCUGUUGUAUAUCACCUUCAUUAACUUUGCUGGAAUCGUUUUCUUUCUUUAAAUUUAUUCA